GGUCCUACCCCCUAAAUCCCUCCCCAAAACCCGUUUUUGUUGUCUCUCUCAUCUCCCUAGUCACUCUCUUUCUCUUUCUUCAUUUCAGAAACACUCAUUCCCUCUCUCUUACUCUCAUUCUCUCUCAAACUCUCGGACAAACACCCAAGACCUUGAAAACUUCACAAGUUAAGGUUGAGGAAGGUAGCAUCGUGUUCGUAAGGACCAUACGAACACAUUGAUAUUAUUUUCAGGCUAAAGCAAGAUCACCACGAGUCUUAGGAAGUCCUAAGGAGGCUCGGAGUGCCUCGUUUGAACAAAAUGGACGUCGGGAUCGUUGGGUUCGAGUUUGGCCGAAUUUGAGGAAUUUUGGAAGGUGGAACUUUUAACGAGGACGAGCACAUCCAGGGGCGUCAAGGGGGUUACGACCCGGCGACAUACCAGUUCUAGUUGAUAGUUGAGGC